GAAGGAGCUACAAGCCGAUUGGCAGAAGCCGAGCGAAGUGAAGGAGCUGGGGUGUAUGGUUUUACGUGAAAGUGAUCCUCUCAAUCCUGGUGGAGGGAUUCACAUGAUCCUGAGACCUGUGGGGAAAUAGCUUCAUGGAACGGUCUCCCAAGGCAAGACAAAACCCUAAAAAUAGCUUAAAAGAGUUGUCUUCAGUCAGUCUUCUGACCACGUCUGAAGGGAAACAGCUUUUAGCUGUUCUGAACAGCCACGCUCGGAGAUGUGGGCAAAGGCUGGCGAUGACAAAGAGGGGCACCAUGCAAUAAUAGUAUUAAUAUGGGAGUAACAGCGCACACUAUCCGACAAAUCUUUCCAAGGGCAUUGAUAGUGUUGCAUUCGUUUGUACAUACACAAGUGAUGAAAGUAAUUGUGUAAAGAAUGAAUUUCUCACAAAAUUGUUGCAAGCAAAGAAAUCCACAAUAACUGAAUAUAACUAGAAAUAUUAUAUGUACAGACAGCAGUAAGUUUGAAUUGCACGGUGUAAUAAGUAUAUAACACGUAUUUAUAUUGCACCGAUUUUGUGGUUAUUUGUUUUUGGUUAUUUGUCUAUAUAUUUGAUCCAAUGAUCUAUUAAACAAACAACUGUCUCUUGUGUGCAACGUCUUGUUGACCAUCGACCCCAACAUCCUCUGUACAAAACAAUGUCACCUGACUUCAUAAUUAGCCUCUAGAGGGCUUUGUCACUUGGACGUAAACAAAAGUCCUUUGAAACUGAAACAAUAGUUUUUCUUGGGAGGACAGACUCUGCCAUCACCAGGUGGACUCACAAGAAUAGGUGCUAGGGUACAGUUAGCGGACAGGUGGCAUCGCUCUGCUGCAGCGGGAGCAAAAACAAACAUGUUGAAAUAACAACAGGCAGCGUUAUGUAAAGUCUGGCACAACAGACUUCUGCAAAUGAGUGUGUUUGAAUGUGUCUGGCUGUGUGUGAAAACCUAAAAAUGUUUUAACUGCUGCACUCCACAGCUCGUAAAGAUACAGUUCAGCAUAAAAGCUUGGAGUCAUAUGCAGUGUUUUAUAACUGUGGGAGUGACAAAGAAACACUAGAAAACGCAAAAUAAAGUAUUUGUAAUAUGCAGAAUGUAAUUCUAGCUAAUGAUUCGUGGCCAUCGCUGUCACCUCUCCCCAUCCGCCUGACUUUAGAAGUUAAAUUUUCUCCGAAAAACUUUUCAACUCACCUACAAUUAGGUUACAUUGUCAAAUAUCUUUAUUUUUGUAUUAUUAUCCCUAUUCUAGAAAUGUAAAUGAAUCAUUAUGCUUUUUUCAUUAUGCUGUAGGGGAUACUCUGCUAAUCAUUUAAAUGCCUGAUUUGUGUUGUAACAUAACUGUGUGUGCUAUUAUUAUAACACUGGCAGCUUCAGAUUAUGCCAAGUCUUGCAAUACACACUUAUCUGUGCAAGUGUAUCCUGCAGUAUGUGUGUGCAUGUGUGUGAGUGGGUGCAAGUGCAAAAAAAAGUAUACUUUUACUGGCAAAGCUCACAGUUCUCAAACUACAUCAAAUCCAACAGCUUGAAGCCUUGUGGGGGAAAAAAAACUAAAUAUACAAGCAAAAUAUUGUAUGAAGUGUUAGAAACUCACAAUGUUCAAUUUCAGGAUGUGUACCUUCUUUUUGUCCAUGCAGUAACACACACAUUAGCUCAUGUUGAACCUUAAAAGGUGCACCGAAUGCAACUGUUCAGAGUUGUGUUUUAAAUAUCACAUUAUAAUAAGACCAUGUUUUAUUUAUAAAUGAGACCAUGUUUUUGCUUGGGGAUGCAUAACGUUUCAGUUAAAUCCUAUUAGGCAAAACAUCAGUGUUUAUGCUUGCCAUGCUUUUCCUAGUUGUACAUUUAUCAAGCAAAAUACUGUCUAUGAUUUGAACAGAGAUUAUUUUCAUGAUUUACAAUAUCUAGCAAAUAUUUUGUCAGACCACAUAUCUCAAACGUAUUUAAAUGUAUACUGGCAUUCUUUUUUCAGAAAUGCAUGUGUAUUAUUGAAGCAAUACAUUAUUGCUUGGAUACACACACAUCCAAUAGCUCUUCUUGGAGGUUAAACAUUCCAGCUCAAGGCCAUAUAUAGUCGAGACUGACCUUGCGCCACCGACUGACGAUAUCAUUGGCCAUCAUGACAAAAAUAAUGUGUGCUGCAUUUUUCCUUUGUUUUCACGGCUCUGUUUUCUCAUUGCUGCAAGGAAGAUGCACAUGGAGUCAGGGAGACGAGGAUAACGCUUGAGACUCACUGCCUGCUUAUUCUCCUCUUAUUAAUUUUGAGCUUCCGUAAGACCUACCUCCAUACACACAUACACACACACACACACACACACAUACACGUAAACCCCCCCACAAAUUGUGUUACAUUUCCACUGUGCAGGUGAAUGUUGGCUUUCUAUGUGUGUGGGAAUGAGAGAAGCGAAAGGUAAAACUUUCUAAAUGUUAAAAUCCUGUCAAAAAUGGGUCAGGAGUGUUACGGUUCCCUCAGCCAGGUUGUGACAGCUUCUGACAUUUGAGCUGUUGACUGAGCAGUACAUUUAUCUCCAGACACAAAGACACUGCACUAAGAAAUCAUCCACGAGAAAACUAUUGAGAAUGAUUUGUGUAUCACCAGGUGGGGAUCCAUGGCUCAUGGCAAAUGAAACUGUGUUGUGAUCAGUCCCAGACUAAUUCCACCCAUUUCAGGAUGUACCUUAUCUCUUAAUACUGCCGGUACAAACUCUGUAAGUGUAACCUAAAAACAAAUAUCCAUUACUGAGAUCGUUUUAAGAUGGAAAAAACAGUAAAUCAAGCUAUUACCAGAAUUUUCCAUUGAGAACGUGUGUGAGUGCUUUUGGGGUGGGGGUGGGGGGCAGAUUUGGGGCCGAGCCAGGGUUGGCAGACAUCCUGGGGAAGGCCAGUUGCUGAUAAGGCCUCCAGGCAGGGGAAAGGCUGUUUAUACAUUGAAACAGACGCGCACUGAACUGAACACAGUACACACCUCAUUGCACAGCUCAAGAAGAAAUGACCUGAACUUUGGUGAGGGAUGUGUGUUCAGACAUGUGUGUGUGUGUGUGUGUGUGUGUGUGUGUGCAUGAAAAACAAAGACGUGAGGAGAAAGUGCGCCUAAGAGAGAGAUGAAAUCUUAAAGAUAGAAGAUUGCUGAUUGACAUCCAUACAGUCUUCUCUUGUAUGUUUGCAUAUACACGGUAGUCAAUUAGAUAGUCGUCGCUAUGUGCAGCCUGACACGGAGGUGAAAUUAAAGAGCAGUCGGCCUGCGAGGAAAGCAGCUCAGAUGGGAAAGAGAGAAGCACAAAAGUGGACACGUCCUCUGUAAGUCUCUCAGGCUUCUUAUGCAUUCGGACUUGCCCAGAUGCUUUCCUUUGUAUUUCAAAAAGUCACAUGUCCCUGCUUUUGUGAUUUCAGACCCAGCAGAGUCACUAUAACCCAAAAGUUCUACGAAACAAGGUUAUGUGUUAUUCGAGCUGGCAAAGAUCUGUGUUUUGAAAGAGGAGCAAAGGCAAAAAACAUUUUUACUAUGAUUAAUAAAUAGUGUUCAGAAGAACAGCUUCGGUGCAAUACAGUAGCAACUCCAACUUGAAAUAAUUAGCUUUUUGUACAAGAUUUGCCACUUUAUAGCACUGCAGGUCAAGUGGGCAUGAUAGGUUGUAUGGAUUUUUAUGGCUUUUACUGGAGUCAAUAAACUGUAAAAAAAAAAAACAAGACAAUCAAAUGGAUUCUUUGUUGGCUCAGUGCACUAGAUGGAGAUGAAAAAUGUGCAUCAGUUGUCAGAAAUGUAAUCUUGGCAAAUGUUGAGGUUACACACACAUUGAAACAUUGCGCCUGCAGCUUGAACACACUGUGAUCAGUUUUCAUUGAUUUUAGAGGAAGCUCUUCCCAGUGGCUGAUGGCAGGACUGAAACUUAGUUUCUUAUCGUCUUCCCAAGUUUGGAAGGACAAACUGAAGAAUUGGAGAAAAAAAGAAAAAAAAUGAAGACCCAAAGGAAAAAGCAUUCAAGGAAAGAUAGAGGAAAAGAAACACAGAUAGAGAUAGAGAGAGAGAGUUGUAUCGUUAAGUGUGUGUGAAUCAUGGCUCAGCAAUAACCGGAUUGUGGCUUUGGACUGCUCUUUCCCACAGACAGCCUCUUCCUAUAGGGCUGCACUCUGCUGACCUGUGGGGGCGAGCGACUAUAGCACUGAGUGAGCAAAGUGUAGAGAUAGUGUUUAUGUGCCUGUUAUUUUAUCUGUGUUCUAUUGUCUUCGUAGAAGCAUGCUACAUCUCAUAUUUUGUCUCUUUGUUGUCAUGUCUUGUUGUUAUUCCAGACCAUGAAUCAACCCUUAAGCCACAAUGACCAGAGUACACGGCCAAUGUGUCUCACCCUCCAUCUAUAAUGGGACAGUUGAACACUUUGUAUGUAAACGAAUGCAAUGACAUAACAGGCAAAGAUGGGAAGCAGUGGCUCUCUGGUGGAGCUACAAACAGCCCUGCUGUACACUACAUUACCAUGUGAUGAAUGUGUAACUACAGCUGACUGAAUGUUGACUGAUGAACUAUCUGAAGCAAGUCAUUCCUCAUACAUUUAAUAUACCGGUAUAUAUGCUUUGCAAAAUGGUUGGCAGUAGUGUUAACAGUCUGAAAUGUUCCUAAUAUUAGGUUAAAGGAAAAUUCUUUAUAUUUUCAACCUGGGUGUCAUUCUUGUUUUUUAUCAACUGUGUGACAUGACACCAUUUUACUCACUACCAUUGAGAAGAUCUGGAAAAUGUCAUGGAAAGCAGCUCGCUACAACAGACACAUGCAUGAUAGGGGCCUACUGUGUGUGUUCACUCUUGAUUUGAUUCACAGACAAAUGUUUGACAUGCAGUCAUACCCCCGUUUGAUGUCAUUGCCAUGUUUCUCAAAUCUCUCCAACAGAGCCACAGUUGAGUGAUUUGAUCAUAUCUGUGGGUUCAUGUCAUUACAGGAUUUUUGAAUUUUGAUGAUGAUACGAUUUGUGAUGAUGGCUUGAUUA